rnacentral:lncRNA from 1 species
CAGAGAAUACACCAGUGUCUGAGCUUUAUUUCUCAUUACACGUUUAACUUUGUUUGUCAUAGGUUAAGGUCAUUCUGAUAAUUGUCCAAUUUGGGACUAAUGUAUGCGAGUCUUUUUGAGCUACUCUGAAUAAGACCUUGACUCUGGAGUACUUGGGUUGCCUGCGCUGAUACCCAGAAGGGGGUCUAAGUGACGGUGCAGCGUGGUGCAGCUUUCCUGUAGCAUCUUCCCUUGCCUGAGUGUCCUCUCCCACCGUCAGAUGCCCCUUUUGCAGACUGCCUGGUUUUUAUUGAACACCACAUUCAACACCUCAUCUUCCCAGGCUUCAGUGCCUUCAGCUGUCUUCUCUCUGUCACUGGGUUAUUGGUCAUCAACCUAUUUGCAGUACAGACUAGCUUUCCCUAAAAUGAUUUCUGGCAGUUUAUCCACCAACUGUUAAUACAUCUUUUGAGGAGAAAAGAAAUGGUACAUGGUCAGGUAACUUUGGGGAAAUCUCGGUGAACUGAGUCAAGUGGACUUCUCUUGGUAAGAACUUUCUGGGAGUCUGUUCCAAGCCAGCCAGGCUCUCAAGCAGUCCUCUGUGUUCUGUGGCAUCUUCGUCUGGCAUGCCGGCCCCGAGAGCUUAUGCCUGACAUUGAAUCCUAUGGAACCUACCUGUACUCUCUUGACUCUUAAGUCAUGUGAUACUUAAUUUACUGUUGUUCAGUUUUUUGUGUGUAUACUUUUAUUACCUAAUGAAUUUAUAAAGUUCUCAAGG